CCCAUUUAGCUGCAUCAGUCCUACUGCAGCAUUACUUAGUUCCAUGUACUAAGGAAGGCUGUAGAUGAGCAGUGGCAUGAGUUGUUCUAAACAAUAUGCUCCUUUUGAGUGCUCACAUAAUUUGUCAUGCAUGUAGGAAAAUAAACUGUUGCCAUGCCUUUUAUUCAUGAAAAUAUGUUUAGGCAUGCAGGAGCCCAAGUCUGGAGCAAGCCAAGAUGGAGCCAGGUGAGAUGUAUAUGCAAGAUCAUCCAGUGCCAAACAUCAAAGAUACAUGGAGCAUUAACACUGAACAUUAGAAGACGAUCUAGAGAUAAGUUAACAGUCCUAUGGAAUCAUUUUCCCUGUAGAGCUCAGUGAGAUUCUGUUUGCUCAGCUUUCCAGAAUCCCAGUGCCUUGGAUGCUGCUUCUCUGGUUCACCUGAACAAACAUCCCCCACGUGCAGCUUUCCACGCUCUCUCUGUUCAGCCGCUUCCAGGACAUUUUCCCAACAUCACAACCACAUCACACCAAUGACCUCAGCUGCACCAUAGCUCUGUAAGCUAUUAGUCCCAGACAGGGAGAUGAGGCACAUAAAGUUGCCCAGAGUCACACGGUCACUAGCUAAGAGAUGAAAACUGACCCUGGGAGUCCUGACUCCCACAAAACAUACUCGCUUUUCUAGAUCAUGGUAUGACGCAACUUAGAUAAGUGGUCCUAUUAAACCAAACAAAAUGACAGCUUCAGAAACAGAUGCCUUUUUAGUAUAUACACAGUAGGAAAGCAACAGAUCUGCAGUAUAUCUGAAUUGAAGCAAGAUUCACAGAUUUCAGUUUUUGAAAUCAUUGUGCAUGUGAAGUAUGAUGCCUUUUUUCAUAACGCAUAACACAUCCAUUUUAACUACUUGAUACUUUUGUUCGUAUGAUACAGCAUCUAAGGCAGAUUUAAAUCCAGUGCUUAACCAGAUAUGGGUGGAAGCCACAUAUGUCCUACCUGGAUGUUGAAUGUAAACUUUUGGGGAUGUUCAGGUUUGAGGGAAAGGUUGGGGGUUUGUUUUAUUAUCUGAUUUAGGUUUAUUUUCUGUUUGUUUGGGGAGAGUUGCUUCUUAUGGUUGGUUGGUUUGUUUUUGUUUUUCUCCCAGUUUUAUGUGGUGAACUUCAUUAUAAAAAUACGAUAAGGGCCAUUUGUAAAAUUUGGUCCAUGAGCAGAUUCUGCCCCCCUAAUUUCAGGAGUUUUUGAAAUCUAAUUUAAACAAAUUUGAUCCCCUUUCUUCUCCUAAGAAUAGAUGUAAGCUACAGUUAGCAAAGGCCAGUUACUCCUGACCAAGACAGGAAUCUACGUGACGGUUUAGCAUGGUUUACGUGAUCAUUUUUCAAUUGAUUCACUUUAACCUUUCUGACCAUGAUGAUACAGACAGGCCAUCAGAGAGAACAUUGCUCUGAACACUGUAUUUAACAGCUUUAUUUUGUACGUGCAUACUGUGCAUGUCAUACUCUUUGUAAGUGUGUAAAAGUGACAUUCUGCAACUGUUGAAUAAUACCAAUGUAUUCCUGAAACUAGGAAGUUUCUGAUUAUAAUUUUGUAGACAGCUACUCUGUAAGAGGUGAUCCACUGGAAUUGGACAGUUGAAAAAGAAUGGUGAAAUUGGAGUUAAAAAUUCACCAAUUAUUUUUUAGAUUUCAAAUUUCAAAAUUUGAAGAUAAUCCUAGUUUAUCACUGAACAUUUGUACUGACACAUUCGAGGAAAACAUACAACAGAUAAAGCUGUUGUUCAUACAUGUCCGUGCAUGUUAUACUGAAAUCAUAUCCAUGACUGGGGCUCUAUGUGCAAUCUAAGAGCAAGAAGAACUUAACAUUUAAAAUGAUGAAGAGAAAGCAUGUAAUCACAGGCACAUUGACUGCACAGAAUUCAGGCCUCUGGGAUUUAAAACCAGCCCCUAGUAUUUGAUAUUUGGGCUCCAUGGAUUCUAGAAACACAGGGACCUCACUAAAUCUGGCCUGCCUCUUCCCCUCGAUUGUGUUGGGGUGCAGAACCAGGCACAGCAAGUUGCUGAGCUACAUCCUCCAGCUCCACUGCAGCUGUGAAUUCUGCAUUAACUAUCCCUGGAUGUUUUAAGGCUAAGGAAUCCAACCUUGGGUAACAGCUUGCCUAUAACUCUAGCAACUAACUCCAGAGAUAGGGAAGUUUCUUUAAAUGCUUCCAAAGACAACUGCUGAGCUCAGAACACUGCUGCAGUGUAAAUGCAGACCAUCGUCCGCAAUCAGCUGGUGUUUCCUUGCAAAGCUGGUGAUUGCAUGUAGUGGACAUCAUGUCCAGUUGUAAUUCCUAGCUACUUUAGCACUCUUAGGAAAUUCUUUGCAACACACCCCUUGCUCUAAUACUCAAUUAGCUUUCAAAUGAGCAAAGAGCCUGCAUGAGCUGAGAUGGCCAUUUUACCAACUACUGCACCAUCACAGGAGUCCACAAACAGCUGUUUCAAAAGUAAUUGAACUCAUAAUGUGCAGAAAAAUUACUUUUAUAAUGGUUGCCUUGAAGAUUUAUUUUUUUAAUGUAAUUAAAAAGUAGAUUUGGAAAUAUGCUCAGCAACCCGAAAGAUUAAAUAUUAAUAAGGUGCAUAAUUAAUAAAUGAUACAUCUCUUGAUUACUAAUGGGUUAUUGACUCUAAAAGCCUAACAUUAUGGAAUAUUAGGGCAAACAAAGGCUUUUGGGGAAUAUCUCCAAGUUUCCAGGAUGAAGCCAUGUCUCUUCCUUCCCAAGGUGAGAACAGAUUAUGAUGACCCUUCUUACCACUGAAAAAGUGAAUAAAAGAUUAGAAGCUGAUCACAGUGAUUGGUAGCAUUCCUGAAAAACUGAUAUUCAAACACACUGCCUAAUCUGGAAUAAUGUUCUACAGGCUUUUGGAGGCUUAUUGAACAGUGGGAGAGUACUUACACCUUAGGUUAUCAGUUUACCAUAGUAAUACUAUUCUGUUAUGGCCAUAUUUCUAGUUUAGAAAUAUUUAAAAACUUUGGUGUAGGAAUAACAUUAAUUUGGCAUCUUAUCCAGAAGUCAUCUUCAAUAAUGGAGUGAAAUAGGGACAUUGCUAAUUAAUGUAAAAUGAUUCAUACCAAUUGGAAAUGUGUCAAGAGAAAUGAGCAAAUCCAGGAGGUUGGUCUUGUUUAUCCUCAAAAAAGAGGAUAGAAAAACUAUACAAGAUUGGCAAAAAUAAAUGAGGGAAACUAAGACUUUAAACUGUCUGCUCGUGGUUUCUUAAUUUUUCAAGAGGACUCCAAGACGAAAGCCACCAAUGCAUGUUAAAAUGUUGUGGCCACCCUAGCCAUUCCAUAAGGCUAAAUAGGAGGGCGCUCCCCGGUACACAAGUGGUUGAGAUGCACUGUGAGUGUGGGUGACUGUCCCCAUCCAUGGCCCAAACCUACAAUCUUUACUAAAUCCUUAUUUCAGGGAAGCUCCCAUUGAAGCUGUGGGUGUUCUUGCCUACUGAUGUUUCCACUCCAUUCUGCAAGUUUCUGCCCUUAUAAGGGAUGAUUCAGUCUGGUGAACCAUUUGGGCUUGUUUCCAAUGAAACUGAAAGAAACUAUCAUAACACAGUUCAUAUUGAAUCUGGUUAUUUGAAUGUUCCUUAAGGACAGUCUUCCAGUUAGAAUCCUGAUUUGGGCUGGUAGCCUGGGCUCACAGAUUUCCUUUGGAGAGUCAUGUAAAGGUAGUUUUUCAAGGCAAAUCUAAUACAGCAACUAGGUGCGUAGGAGGAUUUUCAAAAGAGCCAAAGUACCUAACUCCACAUAAAAUCAGUGGCAGACAUUUUGAAGUAUUGCUGUUAUAUGUAGGUGGCAUGAGACAAAACAUCCUUGUAUAUAAUGUUAGGCAACUCAGUUUUUAAACUGAAUGCAUUUUUCAAUUUGAAGGUCACCAACUGAUAAGCCAGAUAUAAGUAGAGGGGAAAAAACAAGAUUAAAUUUGCCUUCUUGGUAAGCAACAAAAAAAACAGGAUCCAGUGUUUUACUGAAGAAAUUCUCAGAGCAGGAAAAAACCUGCUAGCCACCUUCACAAGCUAUUAGUGAGAAAUGCAUGCUUAAUACUCACUGUAUCCCAUGAUUAAAACAUUCAUUAUCCCUUUAAAUGUUUGAUAUAUUCACCACUUAAUGCAACAUAAUCCACAUGCCUUUCUGGGCCACAAAAUUUGUGCUUUCAAUCAAUCAAUUUCCCUCCCCCUCUCCCCCCCACAACAGACUCAAACCCUUCCAUUCUAAAAGGGCCAAGAAGCCACGUAUGCAGCAUAAGAACUAUGUUACUUAUGUAUCAAAGGACUGCCCAGGGGAACCUGGGACAGGCAAUGUGGCUAACCAGAAAUACGUGAGCAUUGGUUUUUAGGGCAAAUGUUUUGCUCUCAAGUUAUGUGUGUUUGUUAACUAGUGAUCUCUGAAAUGGCACAAUGCUUGCUUUUCUAAUUAAUGUAAUGCAAAUAAUGUAUUCCUCAUCAAAACCAACAUGCAAGGAGACAGCUAAUGCAUGGCUAGUCACAACAGUCAAGGAUAAAGGUCCAGAUUCAGCCCUGCCCUUAAGUACAUGCUUGCUUCUCACAAGAACAUGUCUAAGUAGCAUGCUGAAUUGAGGCCAAGGUGAUCUAACAUUAAACAUGAACACAAUACAAUAAAAUGAAGAAGCAAACCACAGUAAUUUUUCAGGUCUUUGAACUGUACAGAGUGGCUCAUCAUCCUCCUAAAGCUUGGUACCUUGGGUAUGCUCUAGUGCAUACAAAAUAUGAAAAAGGAUGGAAUGGUUUGGAAUAGUUUUAAAUCAUCAGGAUGUAUCAUAGAUCUAAGGAGACAUAUUUAAACAGAUGUUUUAUAGACCAGACUGCAUUGAUUUAUACCCCAAGUAUGUUACUUGAAAGUAAAUAAUAAAAUAUUCCAUGUCCUCAUAUUAUCUCCAUCAAAGGCAAUGGAUAUUUCUAUAGAUGGUAUAAUUGCUAUCAAAAUAAUGUUGACUAAAGUAGAAUAUUUUAGAAGCAUAUAUUAUAUUCUAUACAGCUUCUAAUAUUACACAAUGAAUAGCAGCACAAUGGGGUUUUUUGACUGCAUGUGUGAAACAUAUGUCUCAUGCGUGUUUUACCAUAUGGAUAGAAUCUUCAGACAAAUUGGAUCUGUAUUAUGGGUAAAUUUGCAAGUUUUUCAAAAUGUUCCUUGUCAAAGUGCAGAAUUCAGUGCUUCAUCUUGUUCCUGCAACAGUUUUAACUCCCCCCGCCCCCUUAAUUCGUGAAGCAGAAUGUUAUGCUGUUGGAAAUUGGAUGUUAACAUCAAACCCUGAUCACUUUCCACAGAGGGCAUAAUCCUGCAAGCUCACAUGUGUUUUCAGUCUCCACUGCAGAAAGUGGAAGUGAAGAAGACUCCAUUUCUUACAGAACUGAGGCCACAAGCUACUGAAAGAGAUAGGUGACACUGAUCUCAUUUAUGCUGGCAAAAAUCCAAAAUGGCUCCCCUCAUUUCAAUGGAUUACAACCCUGGAUCUUCUGGACAAGUAACCGAAAUCUUCUCUGAAAGGGCUGCUGCAUGAGUAAAAUAAGCAGGGUUUUAUACUUAGGGGAAAAAAUGUUCUCUCUCUAUUGCUAAGUUAUUUUCUCCCUCCCUUUUAUUCAUGUGAUAAGAAACCAGAUUCUGUCUUGUAGCAAUGUAGUCCUAGCACCUAGUCCUAGAGACUGAGCUUACAUCCUUUAAUUUACAGAGUGAGUUUACCAGGAAUUUUACCAUUGUGAUUUCCCUUUCUUCUCUCAGUCUUGAAACAGAAUGCUCCCAUCUCCUGCAGUAAGCGAUAGAUACACUUGCACACUAUUCUGAGAUCUAGCUCAGCAGUAGUUUGCCUCUCAGGUUCCAGCAAAUACAUUAUAUUAAACCACCAUUAUUGAAUCACUUCCUUUUUGUCCUGAAGAGCUAUGUAUUUUCAAGGAGCUGCAUUUGGAACUGGUUAGCAUAGUCUCAGGGUUUUUUUCUGUGGCAGAUGGGAAACCCAAAUCAGUGAAUUGGCUUUAAUUCCCAGGUUGGAAGAAGCCAAGUAUUUCAUACAUAUCAAGGGAGGGGUCUGGCCCUGUUUCUUUUUAUAGCACCCCCUGGCAUCCAACCCAGGAGAUGGCAUCAGUUUCUCAGCUCCACAGAGACCUCUCUCUUUAACCCCUUCCACCAAUUAAAAAUGCCACAAUAACAGUUGGCAGUCAAAGUCAGCAGUGUAACAAGAAAAUGGCAAAUUAUGCAGAGAAAGACUGCAAAUGUAAUAAUAAGGAAAUAAAUCCCUUGGAACUCUGAGGGUAUAUAGCAAUAAAACAAAACAAGCAUGUGCUGGAAAUUAAAUCUCCCAGCAGUAUUGAUUGCUAAUGGCCUUUUUUUAAUUUCAAUCUUAUUUACUAUGUAGAGAUAAGAGCUGACUCUGAGCACUUUGUCUGAUUCAGAACUCUGUAUAAGAAAUCUAAAGAUCACUCAAAUUAAGAGGAGACAGCUAACUACUCCCCUGGGAUAUACAGAGAAAUAUUUUAUUUACCCCAUUAGAGCAAAAGAAUAGCACAGUGCAAAUUCAGUCCAAUCAGAAACACCAUUCAGCAAGUAAUGGCAGCUGCUUUUGUUUUUCUUGAAGUGUGUGUGUGUGUGUGUGUGUGUGUGUGUGUGUGUGUGUGUGUGUGUUGGGGGGUGCUGGUUUCAGUAGCUUUGCCCUUCUCUCUCUCAGUUUUUCCUUGUCACUCUGAAAACUCUAAAAAGUAAAUGGAAAAAAAUCCCUGUGAAUUCUGCAAACAUUUCUUUAUGCUGUUUUUUAAAAGAGGAUUCACACACAAACAAAGCAGCAUUGGAUUGCAUUUUAAAAAGCAAGUUUCAGUUAAGAAGGCGUGAAUCUAAACAAGAAGCAAAGGUUUUGAGAAAAAGAUUGUAUCAAGCUUUUUUUUUUUGCUUUUUUUUUUUUUUUACACUGGGUUGACAUUUUCUACAAAUUAACUCCACACUGAAAGGUACUGAAAGCAUAUUUGUGUCCCAACACUGGAUAAAGACAUACAGUUCCUAUCGACUAUAUUUGAAUAUUACAUUCCCACAUGAUUCAACAUCGGAAAUAUAGCUGUCAUGGAUAGUAAUAGCACAAGAAGUGUUUUUUUCUCUCAUUAUUUUGAACUUCCCUAGCAGGAUUCACUGCUCUAGUUUUUUUUCAGCAGCUUGUGGUUUGGAGCAUGUAGGCAGCAUGCAUUAUGGACUGACUUGCAUAUUUCUACUGUAAAUAGCUGGUAUAACACUGAAGGAGAAAACCAUCACCACCAGAAUGGGUAAACCUGUUCAGAAAACAUAAGAGUCACUCCAAACCUCAGUACAAACCUCAAACCAAGCUGUACGCGUUCGAAGGUUAGCAUUGAUUCAGGAAUGCCUGCCUGCCUUCCAUCUCUGUAGUCAGAUUUAUGGAAGGAGGCCAGGUUCUGGCACAGAGAAAGAGGUUCUCAUUUUCCUUUUUGCAGUAUAGUACAGUGUCAAUACUUAAGUCCAAAUUAAAAACAAACAAAUAUAUAUUAGAUGGUUUUCUUGUAAGCAACAGCAAAUCCAAAGGAAUAGGGGUAAAGACACAACAUCAACAAAAAUCUAACAAACGUUAGACAAAUUGGAUCUGUAUUGCGGGUAAAUUUGUAAGGUAGCCAGUGCCCUCGUGAGGCAGUAUCUGCCUUGCCUAAAGCUGGAAAUGAACAGCUCCAACCAAUGAGAAUCUUUCAAUUCCCAGUCCCACAACCUCUUCCCCAAACCAUGCCCACCUGUAAACUAGGCAGUGGGGAUAGGGAAGCCCAUUACAAUAUUUUGUGAGACACUAGCAAAGCCAGUGGUCUCUUUUGAACUAUAAAGGGUGUGGACAAGAUCAAAUAGUUAGGACCAGAUUCUGAUGCUUUUACUUGCUGUUUCUAGUACCUCAAUUACCAAGUGCAACAGAGCAAUUAAAAUACUUAGUUAUGUUUAAAUGGCCCCUACAAUUUAGUGUGAAUUGAUGCAAAUGCUUAAAAUUAAACAAAUGUUUGUGUAAAUCGUUGACUAAAAAUAGCCAUAAAUACAUUUUGGAGAGCUCUGAAGCAUUGAGUUGUUUUUGCAUAGUCUCACUGAAGUCAGAAGAUCUAAGGAUCUGGCCCUGUAUUUUGUUAAUAAAAUGCUUACUAAUAAAAUUACUGUUCAAUGUCAAUAUAAACUAUCUGCCAAAGUGUGUGUACAUGUAUGUAUACAUAUGCCCAUGCAUCCAUUUAUACACAGACACAAUUUUAAAAGGAAAGGCAAACACAAUAUAGGGAUCUUUCCAGUAGUGUACAAAUAUUCUUCUGAAAUGAAUCCAUGAAAGCUGCAUGUAUUUUGAUUUUUAAUCACUAAGUAUUUUCCUUCAACAAGCUCAGAAUUUGAGAUGAGGAGUAUGUAAUCUAGCAGCAAAAUGAAAGGUUUCCAAAGUUACAAAGUAUGUAAUCUAGUAGCAAAAAUACAUACUCAAGUUUCUGGAAGUUAUUUAUAUUAACUUUAAUUCUGUGGAGUAUAGAAUGUAAACUCUGAUAUCAAUAUCAAUCUGUACCGGUUUACUGUCUGUUCCCUGAAACAGGCAGUCUUUUUAAGGGGGUUCUUCAUUUUACAAGUACUUCCAAUGUAUCCAGAAAAUCUUCCAUGUUUGUGUUUAAAAAUAAAAAGAGAACACUUUAUCACUUGUUUUUUUAAAAUGCGAAUGGUGAUUUAGGAAGCCAUCAAUGGAAAUUUCAGUAAGGACAAAGCCCUCUGCUAUUGCCAUCCAAACAUGCAUCCAAGGAGUACCUACCAAAAUUAUUUAAAUUGCUCUUGUUUGCACCCAAAACAAGCCAGAGAUUUUAAAACUGAGUCUUCAAACAAAGGAGGCAGAUAAUCAACUGAAAAAGAAUUAUCAUUUGCUCUAUGUUCUAAUGCAAUUCUUCAUACAUUUCACUGGCAGAGGAGGCUGCUGAAGGAUGGCAAACAGAGUUAUAUCUUCUGUAGGCUACCCCCAUACAAAGGAAAUGAUUCAUUUGAAAGUUGCUGGCAGGAGUAUGCAAUUGCUUCUCAAAUAACUUCCAAAUGUGUAGGUCCUGAAACACCUAUUAGCCAAUUCCACUUACCAACAGCAUCAAAUAACUGGUGAUUCGUUCACAGGCUUUGAACAAACAAAGGGUUUUAGUAAGAGGCUGGGGAGAUGGGCCAACUGGGUGUGCCUUUUCAUUCCAACUGAUCAUGAUACUCUCGGUCUAGGAAAUUUAAAACAUGUGCCUUAAUAACUAUUAUUUCUAUAUGAUCCUAUCUCAUACACAGGUUAUACAUACCAUGCUCCAAGAAGCCUAAAGUUCAUUAAAACCUGAAGAAAUGUCUAUGUGCUAGUGAAGUUCCUACUGACUUCCCAAGGGCCAGGAUUUCACCCAAGCGCUUUGCAAAAAAAAAUUGUAUAAUCAUAUCUGAACCUUGUUGAAGACGAAUCAUGGAGUAAACCCUGUACUUAGCAGCUUGAAUUUCAGGCAGACCAUAAGCUGAAGACUGAACCUCAAAAUCUGGCCCAAUAUUUCUUCUCUUUCAUGAGGAAACCUGUUAUGAAAUGCCUUUUAAUAAGUUUGUUGUGUUUGUGUUUAAUGUGUUUACUGUGUGCAGCAAAUGGUUUCCUCUGCACAGCUCACUAGUACUGCACAGCACUCUUUAACGUGUAUAUGCAUGUGUGUGUUGCCGGGGGAGGGGGGGGGGUGCUAUACAUACGUAGGCACAAUGCUCUGAUAAAGGAAAAUGAAGGUUACCAAACCAUGUACUUCAAAGGUCAUGACAGAAUUAAUAAAUUAGACUGCCUUUCCAAUAAAGCUAGGAAAGAUUUUAACUCAAUCUUUUUUUUUUUUAAACCAAAAAUGUAGAUUCUGUGACAUCAAAACAUUUAGGAAAAUCACGCCAGUUUUACUAGAUGCAAAUCACUCCAAAUUGUUUGUUUAAAAAAAUGUUGAAAAAAAUCAAAGCAGUCAAAAUAUUUCUGACAUUUUUAAAUGAAUUGUUUUUUUAAAUUUGAAAUUACUUUGUAUUUUGAAAAGUCCCUUCACUUUGCAAAUAUAAUACAGUGCUCAAAAUAAGACUAAAUUGUUUUCUUUCAGGUCAAAUAAAAUGUUUUGUUACACCUUAAAUAA